UGGUGGGUUGCCUUGUCAGGUUGAUUCCGGUAACGAACGAGACCUCAACCUGCUAAAUAGUCACGCCCGGGUCUCACCGGGCGGCCGACUUCUUAGAGGGACUAUUGGCGACUAGCCAAUGGAAGUUUGAGGCAAUAACA
rnacentral:rRNA from 1 species